CACGUAGGGCGCGAGCGUUGUCCGGAAUUAUUGGGCGUAAAGAGCUCGUAGGCGGCCUGUUGCGUCCGCUGUGAAAGCCCGGGGCUUAACCCCGGGUCGGCAGUGGAUACGGGCAGGCUAGAGGUAGAUAGGGGAGAAUGGAAUUCCCGGUGUAGCGGUGAAAUGCGCAGAUAUCGGGAGGAACACCGGUGGCGAAGGCGGUUCUCUGGGCCUUACCUGACGCUGAGGAGCGAAAGCGUGGGGAGCGAACAGG
rnacentral:rRNA from 1 species